UGACAUGAUGAUCUUCCUUUUGGAAUCUCGUUCGGCUGAAUGCCCUUGUUGAGAAGCGGAAUCUGAGCAUC